AGUGAACGCUGGCGGUAGGCCUAACACAUGCAAGUCGAACGGCAGCACAGUAAGAGCUUGCUCUUACGGGUGGCGAGUGGCGGACGGGUGAGGAAUACAUCGGAAUCUACUUUUUCGUGGGGGAUAACGUAGGGAAACUUACGCUCAUACCGCAUACGACCUACGGGUGAAAGCAGGGGAUCUUCGGACCUUGCGCGAUUGAAUGAGCCGAUGUCGGAUUAGCUAGUUGGCGGGGGAAAGGCCCACCAAGGGGACGAUCCGUAGCUGGUCUGAGAGGAUGAUCACCCACACUGGAACGGGAACACGGUCCAGACUCCUACGGGAGGCAGCAGUGGGGAAUAUUGGACAAUGGGCGCAAGCCUGAUCCAGCCAUACCGCGUGGGUGAAGAAGGCCUUCGGGUUGUAAAGCCCUUUUGUUGGGAAAGAAAAGCAGCAGGUUAAUACCCCGCUGUUCCGACGGUACCCAAAGAAUAAGCACCGGCUAACUUCGUG
rnacentral:rRNA from 1 species